CAGUCGCCGCGGUAAUACAGAGGGUGCGAGCGUUAAUCGGAUUUACUGGGCGUAAAGCGUGCGUAGGCGGCUUCUUAAGUCGGAUGUGAAAUCCCUGAGCUUAACUUAGGAAUUGCAUUCGAUACUGGGAAGCUAGAGUAUGGGAGAGGAUGGUAGAAUUCCAGGUGUAGCGGUGAAAUGCGUAGAGAUCUGGAGGAAUACCGAUGGCGAAGGCAGCCAUCUGGCCUAAUACUGACGCUGAGGUACGAAAGCAUGGGGAGCAAACAGGAUUAGAGACCCCAGUAGUCCCUGUCUCUUAUAA
rnacentral:rRNA from 1 species